rnacentral:rRNA from 1 species
UCGAGAAUCAUUCACAAUGGACGAAAGUCUGAUGAUGCAACGCCGCGUGGAGGAUGAAGGCCCUCGGGUCGUAAACUCCUGUCAUCAAGGAGUAAGACUUAUGCGUUAAAAGCGUGUAAGUUUGAUAGUACUUGAAGAGGAAGGGACGGCUAACUUCGUGCCAGCAGCCGCGGUAAUACGAAGGUCCCAAGCGUUGUUCGGAAUCACUGGGCGUAAAGGGAGAGUAGGCGGUUUGGAAAGUCAGGUGUGAAAUCCCGGGGCUCAACCCCGGAACGGCACCCGAUACUCCCAAACUUGAGUAACGGAGAGGUAGCAGGAAUUCUCGGUGUAGCAGUGAAAUGCGUAGAUAUCGAGAGGAAGACCAAUGGCGAAAGCAUGCUACUGGACGUUUACUGACGCUGAGUCUCGAAGGUUAGGGUAGCGAAAGGGAUUAGAUACCCCUGUAGUCCUAGCAGUAAACGAUGUGCGUUUGGUGUAGGAGGAUUCGACCCCUUCUGUGCCGGAGCUAACGCGUUAAACGCACCGCCUGGGGAGUACGGUCGCAAGACUAAAACUCAAAGAAAUUGACGGGGACCCGCACAAGCGGUGGAGUAUGUGGCUUAAUUCGAUGCAACGCGAAGAACCUUACCUAGGCUUGACAUGCUCGUCAUACCCUCCCGAAAAGGAGGGGUCAUUUCGGAUGGACGAUGCACAGGUGCUGCAUGGCUGUCGUCAGCUCGUG